rnacentral:sRNA from 1 species
AUGGCUGUCGUCAGCUCGUGUCGUGAGAUGUUGGGUUAAGUCCCGCAACGAGCGCAACCCUUGUCAUUAGUUGCUACAUUCAGUUGGGCACUCUAAUGAGACUGCCGGUGACAAACCGGAGGAAGGUGGGGAUGACGUCAAGUCCUCAUGGCCCUUAUGGGUAGGGCUUCACACGUACUACAAUGGCGCGUACAGAGGGUUGCCAAGGAGCGAUCUGGAGCCAAUCCCGAAAAGCGCGUCGUAGUCCGGAUUGCAGUCUGCAACUCGACUGCAUGAAGUCGGAAUCGCUAGUAAUCGCGGAUCAGCAUGUCGCGGUGAAUACGUUCCCGGGUCUUGUACACACCGCCCGUCACACCAUGGGAGUGGGUUUCACCAGAAGCCGGUCGCCUAACCGCAAGGGGGGCGCCGACCACGGUGAGAUUCAUGACUGGGGUGAAGUCGUAACAAGGUAGCCGUAUCGGAAGGUGCGGCUGGAUCACCUCCUUUCUAAGACGCGCCACUCCAGCGCCCACCAUCUAUCGGUUGUCCUUUUUCGUGACCCAACGGGUCUGUAGCUCAGUUGGUUAGAGCACCGUCUUGAUAAGGCGGGGGUCGAUGGUUCGAAUCCAUCCAGACCCACCAACCAACAUUUCACCGUUCGAGGAAUCAGCAGGCAGCUUUCGCUUUGAUGGCGGAGUUGCCUGGUGCUUCUUCGGAAGCAUCGAUCGGCUGCUCUUUAACAAUCCGGGAUGGAAGGUAAAGUUGUUCUCGUCUGGGAAGAGCGCGUGGAGGCAUUGCGCGCGAUUCGAAGGCGAGGGCUAACUGGGUUAUGUAUUGCAUCGUGUCUUCGCCGCGCAAGCGGUGGGGAUGCAAGCACAAGCGUGAGAAUUUCCUAUUGCUUUGAGAUGUCCUGGGGGACUUUGCCCUGGGAUGCCUUGCGCUCUAAAGGUGCGAGGCGGCAAGGUUAUAGGGUCAAGCGAAUAAGUGCAUGUGGUGGAUGCCUUGGCGAUAACAGGCGAUGAAGGACGCGACAGCCUGCGAUAAGCUGCGGGGAGCCGGCAAAUGGGCUUUGAUCCGCAGAUUUCCGAAUGGGGAAACCCGG